GAUGAACGCUGGCGGCGUGCUUAACACAUGCAAGUCGAACGAGAAGUGAAGACGGAAACCUUCGGGCGGAAGGCUUUAUUUCGAGUGGCGGACGGGUGAGUAACGCGUGGGUAACCUGCCUCAUACAGGGGGAUAACAGUUGGAAACGACUGUUAAUACCGCAUAAGACCACAGCACCGCAUGGUGCGGGGGUAAAAACUCCGGUGGUAUGAGAUGGACCCGCGUUCGAUUAGCCAGUUGGCGGGGUAACGGCCCACCAAAGCGACGAUCGAUAGCCGAUCUGAGAGGAUGACCGGCCACAUUGGGACUGAGACACGGCCCAAACUCCUACGGGAGGCAGCAGUGGGGAAUAGUGCACAAUGGGGGAAACCCUGAUGCAGCGACGCCGCGUGAGUGAAGAAGUAUUUCGGUAUGUAAAGCGCUAUCAGCAGGGAAGAAAAUGACGGUACCUGAGUAAGAAGCCCCGGCUAACUACGUG
rnacentral:rRNA from 1 species